UUAGUUUAAAUCAUUGUGGGACUAUUCUUUGAAAAUUGAACCCACACAAAGUGGUGGAACAUACUUUGAUUUCAUUCAA
rnacentral:pre_miRNA from 1 species